UGGCUAUUUGUAUCAUUUUAUUUUGUGGCAGUUUUGUUUUGUUCAGAUCAAACAUCUACCACACACGAGGCACUGUUUUCAUUUACACCAAAGCCCCUUUACACCAUUCUGUCAGUGGGAAGGGCCCAUAAAUGAGAGUAAAUGUAAUGUGGGCCUACUUGCAGGUCCCUUAACGCUACCAGAGUGAGAAGGAAGAGUCUUGUGUAAUUAUGAAUCUAGCCCUAGAUCUGUCUCACACAGCAUGUCUACAAAUAAUUUCUCAAAGGCGUUUAGCAGCCUCUUUUAUCCAAAAUCUUUGCAGUGACUCUGCCUAGAGACCAACCAACUUGCAAGCUUUCCCGUGUAUCUAUAAUUACUCUGCCAGCCUUGUGUGCCUGUUCUGAUGAACUGUGUUGUAAUUCUGAAAGCUUUCUAAAGUUCAUCUUUUAUCUGAUAUUUAGAGACUGGACUGAACACUAUAACAGCUUCUUUCUUAUCAGAAACUGGAUGGUGAUCCUUUAAUACUUAAUACAAGGUGCCUUUCCUGAGCAGUUAAUUGAGCCUCAUCAGUUGCUUUAGAAAAUUAUUAAUUCUGAACCAUAAAUACUGACAACCUAAAUGUGGCACAUUGAAAAAUGGAGAGAGAGCAGAAAAUAAAUUGAAUUUACCAUAAUCAACACAGUAUCCGUUUAAGAUGCUGCAGAAUCUGUCAUACUGGAAUGUUAGAGUUCAGGGACCUUACCACAAAAUAUAACACCAGCUUUCUGCACAACAUAUGGGGCCUUAUUUAUAUUCCAUAAUAAAGUAGUGACUCUGAGCAAAUAAGAACACAGGCAGAGCAAGCUACCAGACAGACAAUGCUCUGCCACAGUACCUCAAUCUUAGAGGUGGUACCUCCAGAACUGAGAUAAAUCUCCAUGAUCAUCCAAGUUUCUCUGCAGUGACUGCUGGGGGAAAAAAAAGGACAAUUGUGCCAUGGAAAAAUGAUUCAAGGCCUCAAACCAUUUGACAAAGGUAAGGGAAUAGCUAAUGGAUUUUGUUUUACUGUUUUCAAGUGCCCUACAAAAAAAAACUCUGUUCUGGCAAGUUUCUCUAAAAUGAAUUUGUUUGAAUGUUCUAGGAAAUAAGCCACGUAGAACUGGUUCCUCUUACGUGGUUUAAUCAGUGGGAACUUUGUUCCUCCUCUUUGUAGGAAUGAAUGUACUCCUCUAAGUAUUUAUUGCACUUGUACUUUGUAGUAACUUGCAGCCACUACCAGUCUGGCUUGGAUUUGAACCUGUGACACUGAGGGCUUCUCUGCCCAAAUCCCCCAAGAACAUUAUUUGGAAAACUACCAACACAGUGACGCAUAUUCCGUAAUGGAGCAGGUAUUGUGGUUUCUUUUACUGUGGCUUUAAGGGAAACCUUUUUAAUCCAAAACCAGAAUGAUCUAUGAAGCAUUUUAAACCGAGACAUUUGCAACUAUUUACUUCCAGUGCAAACACUGUGAAAAGUCUAAAUGCUAAACU